UGAAUACGAGAUGCUACGGCGUCGAAGCAGUCUAUGUCAUACUUCCAAGAAAAGCUUGCACUGUCAUAAACAAAUAAUGCCUGUACCAUAACCGACACAGGUGGGUAGGUAGAGUAUACUAAGGGGCGCGAGAUAACUCUCUCUAAGGAACUCGGCAAAAUGACUCCGUAACUUCGGGAGAAGGAGUGCCUUAUUUAUAAGGUUGCAAUAACAAGAUCCAAGCAACUGUUUACCAAAAACACAGGUCUCCGCUAAGUCGUAAGACGAUGUAUGGGGGCUGACGCCUGCCCAGUGCCAGAAGGUUAAAGAAGUUGGUUAGCAUCCGCGAAGCUGAUAACUGAAGCCCUGGUGAACGGCGGCCGUAACAAUAACGGUCCCAAGGUAGCGAAAUUCCUUGUCGGGUAAGUUCCGACCCGCACGAAAGGCGUAAUGAUUUGGAUACUGUCUCGGAGAGGGGCUCGGUGAAAUAGACUUGUCUGUGAAGAUGCGGACUACCUGCACCAGGACAGAAAGACCCUAUGAAGCUUUACUGUAACCUGAAAUUGAAAUUGGACUUUACUUGCGCAGUAUAGGUGGGAGGCGUUGAGAAUAUUCUUGCGGGAUUAUUGGAGCCAUCAGUGAGAUACCACUCUUGUAAUGUUAGAUUUCUAACUUUGUAUCAUUAUCUGGUCAAAGAACAGUUUCAGGCGGGCAGUUUGACUGGGGCGGUCGCCUCCUAAACGGUAACGGAGGCGCACAAAGGUUUCCUCUGAACGGGUAGAAAUCGUAUCUAGAGUGUAAAGGCAUAAGGAAGCUUGACUGUGAGACCUACAAGUCGAGCAGGGACGAAAGUCGGUCUUAGUGAUCUGACGGUGCUGAGUGGAAAGGCCGUCACUCAACGGAUAAAAGUUACUCUAGGAUAACAGGCUGAUCUCCCCCAAGAGUUCACAUCGACGGGGAGGUUUGGCACCUCGAUGUCGGCUCAUCGCAUCCUGGGGCGGUAGUACGUCCCAAGGGUUGGGCUGUUCGCCCAUGAAAGCGGUACGCGAGCUGGGUUCAGAACGUCGUGAGACAGUUCGGUCCAUAUCCGGUGUAGGCGUUAGAAUAUUGAGAGGAGCCUUCUUUAGUACGAGAGGACCGAGAAGGACAUACCUCUGGUGUACCAGUUAUCGUGCCAACGGUAAACGCUGGGUAGCUAUGUGUGGAGUGGAUAACCGCUGAAAGCAUCUAAGUGGGAAGCCCACCUCAAGAUAAGUAUUCUCAC
rnacentral:rRNA from 1 species